GACGAACGCUGGCGGCGUGCCUAAUACAUGCAAGUAGGACGCACAGCCUAUACCGUAGCUUGCUACACCAUAGGCUGUGAGUUGCGAACGGGUGAGUAACGCGUAGGUAACCUGCCUAUUAGAGGGGGAUAACUAUUGGAAACGAUAGCUAAUACCGCAUAACAGUAUGUAACACAUGUUAGAUGCUUGAAAGAUGCAAUUGCAUCGCUAGUAGAUGGACCUGCGUUGUAUUAGCUAGUAGGUAGGGUAAUGGCCUACCUAGGCAACGAUACAUAGCCGACCUGAGAGGGUGAUCGGCCACACUGGGACUGAGACACGGCCCAGACUCCUACGGGAGGCAGCAGUAGGGAAUCUUCGGCAAUGGGGGGAACCCUGACCGAGCAACGCCGCGUGAGUGAAGAAGGUUUUCGGAUCGUAAAGCUCUGUUGUUAAGGAAGAACGAGUGUGAGAAUGGAAAGUUCAUACUGUGACGGACUAACCAGAAA
rnacentral:rRNA from 1 species